CCUAUACAUGCAAGUCGAACGAAGUCUUCGGACUUAGUGGCGAACGGGUGCGUAACGCGUGGGAACCUGCCCUUAGGUUCGGAAUAACAGUUAGAAAUGACUGCUAAUGCCGGAUAAUGUCUUCGGACCAAAGAUUUAUCGCCUUUGGAUGGGCCCGCGUAGGAUUAGGUAGUUGGUGAGGUAAAGGCUCACCAAGCCGACGAUCCUUAGCUGGUCUGAGAGGAUGAUCAGCCACACUGGGACUGAGACACGGCCCAGACUCCUACGGGAGGCAGCAGUAGGGAAUAUUGGACAAUGGGCGAAAGCCUGAUCCAGCAAUGCCGCGUGAGU
rnacentral:rRNA from 1 species